ensembl:lncRNA
CAAUUACCGAUGUGCACAAAGUUUAACGUUGAUCUCCCAGGUGUAAAUAAUACACUUGUUAUAGAGAAAUCUAAACGGUAAAUAGUUUAUGUGCAAGAAAAUAAGAAGAAAGUCUACUUUUUAUAUUGAGCCCAAAAUAUGGAUAAACGUGUAAAAUAUGACAAAAAACAAGCAAAAAAGCCUCGUCGUCCUGUCAGCCAAUCACCUUGCGCUCCAUCCCCGUGGAGCGAGACGUCACGCGCCCGGGGGCUCUCCACAGGUGAUUGGUGGCCUCGGCCGUCCAAUCACGGGCCGCGGUUUGCAGCAAAGUUGUUAACCCCCAACAGUAGCACUUUGGUGUCCACCUCUCUAGUUCCAGCCUGCUUUGCAUCGACAGGAAAACACCAGACUUUCUCCCGAUGAACGCUGCUUUUCCGACGUGGCGGGUGUAACGCGUUCCUGCCGGGAUACCGGAGAACCGUCCGUUGUUAUCACAACAGCCUCCGGGGGAAGUAGCCGCGGCUAACGUUCACGUUGCUUCUCUCUCUCUCUCUCGCUAGCUGCGUCGCGUUGCGUUUUCUUCUUCUUUAACUUGCCACAUUGUUGCCCGUCAGUCUUUUUUUUUUUUUUUUUAAUCUCCAUCGUGCGGCGAAACAUCGAGUCGGUCGUCACAAUGCAGUCGCUGGAUUUUGCGGUGAAAGGUGAACCCCCGCUCCCCUGGGUGGACCCCGGCUGAGCCCCCACGUCGUCAACAGCGGGACGGCUGCUGGAGCCGCCGACACUGAAAUAAUACACGUGUUUGUGGAACCGAUCAGCGUUUGGGUUCCAGAUAUUGAUCUUCAUGGCAUUUCUUUUUUGGCAUUGAGUGUGUGAAAUGCUUUCAGACAGACAUGUGGGUGUCCUGGAAGUCAGAAGUCAGAUCCUUUGUGGGACCAGGAGAGGGAGACAUUGUUCAGGUGUUGAGCAUUUUGUCAUGGAGCUUCACCUGGAAUAAACUUCUUCUCUUUUUUUCUUUCUUUGGAUGGAUGAGGUUCAGUGGAUCAGUUACUUCUGUGGUAUUUUAAGGCGUUGCCCUGUACAUUGCGCUCUUGAUAAGGGUUUGGUUGUUCAAGUUUUUCAACAGACUAUUAUAAAAAACUCUUUAAGAGUAAUGUUGUAUUGUAUAAGUUAUAUUUACUGCAAUGUGGGAGUGUUUUGAAUAAUAAAAUAAUAAUCCGGGAUUUAAUUAGAAAAUUAUUUGUUUUAACGUUGUCCCCGGGCAACACCAAUUUUAAUCUUUUAAUAUUAAAAAAAUGUAUAAAACUUAUUUUCUGUUUUUAAAAACAGUCCAAGAUGUUAUGGAGAAUCAACCAUAUGGACUCAAGUCAAAUGUGAAAUUAAAAAAAAAAAGUUUUUAUUAAUA